rnacentral:rRNA from 1 species
ACGCUAUCACUCCUACGGGAGGCAGCAGUGAGGAAUAUUGGGCAAUGGAGGCAACUCUGACCCAGCCAUGCCGCGUGCAGGAAGACGGCCCUAUGGGUUGUAAACUGCUUUUAUACAGGAAGAAACGCAUCUACGUGUAGGUGUUUGACGGUACUGUAAGAAUAAGGAUCGCGACUACCGCUGUCAGCAGCCGCGGUAAUACGGAGGAUUCGAGCGUUAUCCGGAAUCAUUGGGUUUAAAGGGUCCGUAGGCGGUCUUAUAAGUCAGUGGUGAAAUCUUCCAGCUCAACUGGGAAACUGCCAUUGAUACUGUAGGACUUGAAUAUUUGUGAAGUAACUAGAAUAUGUAGUGUAGCGGUGAAAUGCUUAGAUAUUACAUGGAAUACCAAUUGCGAAGGCAGGUUACUAACAGAUUAUUGACGCUGAUGGACGAAAGCGUGGGUAGCGAACAGGAUUAGAUACCCUGGUAG